rnacentral:rRNA from 1 species
GGUUCAGGAUGAACGCUGGCGGCGUGCUUAACACAUGCAAGUCGAACGGAGAUUACUUUUAGCUUGCUAAGUUGUAAUCUUAGUGGCGGACGGGUGAGUAACGCGUGGGUAACCUGCCUUAUACAGGGGGAUAACAGUCGGAAACGACUGCUAAUACCGCAUAAGCGCACAGUAUCGCAUGAUAGAGUGUGAAAAGAUUUAUCGGUAUAAGAUGGACCCGCGUCUGAUUAGCUGGUUGGUGAGGUAACGGCCCACCAAGGCGACGAUCAGUAGCCGGCCUGAGAGGGUGAACGGCCACAUUGGGACUGAGACACGGCCCAAACUCCUACGGGAGGCAGCAGUGGGGAAUAUUGCACAAUGGGGGAAACCCUGAUGCAAGCGACGCCGCGUGAGUGAAGAAGUAUUUCGGUAUGUAAAGCUCUAUCAGCAGGGAAGAAAAUGACGGUACCUGACUAAGAAGCCCCGGCUAACUACGUGCCAGCCGCAGC